AUUGAACGCUAGCGGGAUGCUUUACACAUGCAAGUCGAACGAGUGGCGGACGGGUGAGUAAUAGAACGGAAAGUGCCCAAUAGCGGGGGAUAACGACUCGAAAGAGUGGCUAAUAACGCAUACUAUUGGAGCUGCCGAUAUAGGAAUAGCUAGUAGGGGGUGUAAAGGCUCACCAAGGAAACGAUCCGUAGCUGGUUUGAGAGGCCGACCAGCCACCCGUGGACUGCUGCACGGCCCAGACUCCUACGGGAGGCAGCAGUGGGGAAUUUUGGACAAUGGGGGAAACCCUGAUCCAGCCAUCCCGCGUGUAUGAGAAGGCCUUCGGGUUGUAAAGUACUUUUGGCAGAGAAGCGGUAUCUGCAGAAUAAGCACCGGCUAACUACGUGCCAGCAGCCGCGGUAAUAC
rnacentral:rRNA from 1 species